UCACAAAGCCGCCUUUGAGUUCUUCCUCCUUGUUGAGUUCGGCGUCUCCUCCAAUUCCAUCCACUUUGGCGAACUUGUCGACUGAACCAGAAGUUACGGUGAUGUUCUAAACAAUGAUUUAAACAACUGUCUGGAUAAAGAAGACUGCAAGAAGUUUGGUUGGAACUUUAAAUGAGUUUAACUGGAGGAAGAUUGGGUCAGUAUCUUGACAGGGAAUGGAAAACCGUGAUCAGAAUUUUCCAACGUAUGUCUGCUAAGUAUUCUUUACGUGAAAUCCCUGGUUGAAGCCUUUCCAAGCACAAAAUCAGUUGAUCCUCACAGAGGUCCUGGAAACAUCACCACAGAGCCCUUGAUGAUACCUUCUCAUCAUAUCCUGAAAUUGGCAUCUGCCAGUUUCUUUGGUAUGUAUGCUUUCAUUCUCUUUAGGAAAUUUGCUUAGAUGAUAACACCAGGAUUAAAUGGGGCUCUAUUCCAUUCAAUACUUAACUUGCCCUUAGAGCAGGCAUGGGCAAACUUUGGCCCUCCAGGUGUUUUGGACUUCAACUCCCACAAUUCCUAAUAGUCUUUUUCUUAUGUUGAAUCUUUAAACCUCGUUCAUGUUUGAAAAAUUCCCUUAUGUAUGACUUCUUUCUUACUUUUCACU